rnacentral:rRNA from 1 species
UACGUAGGGUGCGAGCGUUGUCCGGAAUUACUGGGCGUAAAGAGCUCGUAGGUGGCGUGUCGCGUCUGCCGUGAAAGCCCAUGGCUUAACUGUGGGUCUGCGGUGGAUACGGGCAGGCUGGAGGCUGGUAGGGGCAAGCGGAAUUCCUGGUGUAGCGGUGAAAUGCGCAGAUAUCAGGAGGAACACCGGUGGCGAAGGCGGCUUGCUGGGCCAGUUCUGACGCUGAGGAGCGAAAGCGUGGGGAGCGAACAGG